UGGGGAAUAUUGCACAAUGGGCGCAAGCCUGAUGCAGCCAUGCCGCGUGUGUGAAGAAGGCCUUCGGGUUGUAAAGUACUUUCAGCGGGGAGGAAGGGAGUAAAGUUAAUACCUUUGCUCAUUGACGUUACCCGCAGAAGAAGCACCGGCUAACUCCGUGCCAGCAGCCGCGGUAAUACGGAGGGUGCAAGCGUUAAUCGGAAUUACUGGGCGUAAAGCGCACGCAGGCGGUCUGUCAAGUCGGAUGUGAAAUCCCCGGGCUCAACCUGGGAACUGCAUUCGAAACUGGCAGGCUAGAGUCUUGUAGAGGGGGGUAGAAUUCCAGGUGUAGCGGUGAAAUGCGUAGAGAUCUGGAGGAAUACCGGUGGCGAAGGCGGCCCCCUGGACAAAGACUGACGCUCAGGUGCGAAAGCGUGGGGAGCAAACAGG
rnacentral:rRNA from 1 species